GACGAACGCUGGCGGCGUGCCUAAUACAUGCAAGUCGAACGCAGUGGGGACGGGUGAGUAACACGUGGGUAACCUCCCAUCAGAGGGGAUAACACUUGGAAACAGGUGCUAACCCGAUACCGAUGGAUGGCCCCGCGGUGCAUUAGCUAGUUGGUGAGGUAACGGCUCACCAAGGCCACGAUGCAUAGCGGACCUGAGAGGGGGAUCGGCCAGACUGGGACUGAGACACGGCCCAGACUCCUACGGGAGGCAGCAGUAGGAAAUCUUCGGCAAUGGACGAAAGUCUGACCGAGCAACGCCGCGAGAGUGAGGAGGGUUUUCGGUUCGUAAAACUCUGUGGUUAGAGAAGCGGUAUCUAACCAGAAAGCCACGGGUAACUACGUGCGAGCAGCCGCGGUAAUAC
rnacentral:rRNA from 1 species